rnacentral:tRNA from 1 species
GGCAGCUUGGCUUAGUGGAAAGAGCACAGGCCUGGGAUUCAGAGGCCUGGGUUCUAAUCCCAGUCUGCCA